rnacentral:rRNA from 1 species
UACGGAGGAUGCAAGCGUUAUCCGGAAUGAUUGGGCGUAAAGCGUCCGCAGGUGGCUAUGUAAGUCUGCUGUUAAAGAGUGAGGCUCAACCUCAUAAGAGCAGUGGAAACUACAUGGCUAGAGUGCGUUCGGGGCAGAGGGAAUUCCUGGUGUAGCGGUGAAAUGCGCAGAUAUCAGGAAGAACACCCGUGGCUAAGGCGGUUCUCGAGUACGGUACUGACGCUGAGACGCGAAAGCGUGGGGAGCGAUCAGG